ensembl:ncRNA 2RSSE.5 ncRNA
UUUUAGGCUUAGGCUUAGGCUUAGGCUUAGGCUUAGGCUUAGGCUUAGGCUUAGGCUUAGGCUUAGGCUUAGGCUUAGGCUUAGGCUUAGGCUUAGGCUUAGGCUUAGGCUUAGGCUUAGGCUUAGGCUUAGGCUUAGGCUUAGGCUUAGGCUUAGGCUUAGGCUGAGACUUAGGCUUAGGCUUAGGCUUAG